AGUGGCUCAUUCACCUUCUUAUGUCAGCCCCUUCGGGACGCGCUACAUAAACUUCGAAUGACGCACAAAAAGGUGCCUGCCGUCCAACUACUGAUCAUAGCGAUGCUUUAUCAGGCCCGGGCGAAACGUCGAGUUAGGCACCGCCUC
rnacentral:sRNA from 2 species